rnacentral:rRNA from 1 species
UCUAAAAUAAAAUAAUCUAGACCAAAUUAGUAAGAGAUAAAUACUUAAAAUUUAAAAAAUUUGGCGGCAAUUUAAUCUUUUCAGAGGAACCUGUUUUGUAAUCGAUAAACCACGAAAAAUCUUACUUGUUCUUGUAAAUAAAACAGUUUGUAUACCAUCAUUAUCAGAUAAUUCUUAGAGGAGAAAUUAUUAAAUUUGGUUGUUUAGUUAAAUUAGAUCAUGGUGCAGUUUAUGGGCAAGGUAAAAUGGGUUACAAUAAAUUACUUUAUGGCGAAUUAAUAAAAUAAUUUUAUUAUGAAGAAGGAUUUGAUUGUAUUCUUAGUUUAAUAAGCUAACGAGAUAUAAGUUCUAAAUUGUGU